CCUACGGGAGGCUGCAGUGGGGAAUAUUGGACAAUGGGCGAAAGCCUGAUCCAGCCAUGCCGCGUGUGUGAAGAAGGCCUUCGGGUUGUAAAGCACUUUCAGUGGGGAAGAAAGCCUUGGGGCUAAUACCCUCGAGGAAGGACAUCACCCACAGAAGAAGCACCGGCUAACUCCGUGCCAGCAGCCGCGGUAAUACGGAGGGUGCGAGCGUUAAUCGGAAUUACUGGGCGUAAAGCGCGCGUAGGCGGUCUGAUAAGCCGGUUGUGAAAGCCCCGGGCUCAACCUGGGAACGGCAUCCGGAACUGUCAGGCUAGAGUGCAGGAGAGGAAGGUAGAAUUCCCGGUGUAGCGGUGAAAUGCGUAGAGAUCGGGAGGAAUACCAGUGGUGAAGGCGGCCUUCUGGACUGACACUGACGCUGAGGUGCGAAAGCGUGGGUAGCAAACAGGAUUAGAUACCCUGGUAGUC
rnacentral:rRNA from 1 species